GCAGUCGGGCGGUCGGGCGGCAAUCAAAUGUUGUCCGUGCAUUAACUCAUGAACCGUUCAGCCAAAGCUUUUAAAAUUUUAAUAUGUUGUUACUGACAACUAAAUGAAGGUCAAGUUCAAUAAUGGCGAUUUUGACUUUUACCGUUCAGGAGUUAUGGUUCUUGAAAGAUUGAAAAAUGGAGUUUUCAGUCGUGUCCGUGCAUUUACGCAUGAACUGUUCUACCAAAGCUUCCCAAAUUUUAAUAUGUUGUUACUGAUGACAAAAUGGAGG
rnacentral:lncRNA from 1 species